UACCGGCAGCCCGAGUGAUGGCCGCUAUUAUUGGGCCUAAAGCGUCCGUAGCUGGCCAGACAGGUCCGUCGGGAAAUCCAUCCGCUUAACGGAUGGGCGUCCGGCGGAAACCAGCUGGCUUGGGGCCGGAAGAUCUGAGGGGUACGUCCGGGGUAGGAGUGAAAUCCCGUAAUCCUGGACGGACCGCCGGUGGCGAAAGCGCCUCAGAAGGACGGACCCGACGGUGAGGGACGAAAGCUAGGGUCACGAACCGG
rnacentral:rRNA from 1 species